UACGGGGGGAGCAAGCGUUGUUCGGAUUUACUGGGCGUAAAGGGCUCGUAGGCGGCCAACUAAGUCGGAUGUGAAAUCCCCAGGCUCAACCUGGGAACUGCAUCCGAUACUGGAUGGCUUGAAUUCGGGAGAGGGAUGCAGAAUUCCAGGUGUAGCGGUGAAAUGCGUAGAUAUCUGGAGGAAUACCGGUGGCGAAGGCGGCAUCCUGGACCGACAUUGACGCUGAGGAGCGAAAGCUAGGGGAGCAAACGGG
rnacentral:rRNA from 1 species